rnacentral:rRNA from 1 species
AUUGAACGCUGGCGGCAGGCCUAACACAUGCAAGUCGAGCGGAUGAAGGGAGCUUGCUCCUGGAUUCAGCGGCGGACGGGUGAGUAAUGCCUAGGAAUCUGCCUGGUAGUGGGGGAUAACGUCCGGAAACGGGCGCUAAUACCGCAUACGUCCUGAGGGAGAAAGUGGGGGAUCUUCGGACCUCACGCUAUCAGAUGAGCCUAGGUCGGAUUAGCUAGUUGGUGGGGUAAAGGCCUACCAAGGCGACGAUCCGUAACUGGUCUGAGAGGAUGAUCAGUCACACUGGAACUGGGACACGGUCCAGACUCCUACGGGAGGCAGCAGUGGGGAAUAUGGGACAGUGGGCGAAAGCCUGAUCCAGCCAUGCCGCGUGUGUGAAGAAGGUCUUCGGAUUGUAAAGCACUUUAAGUUGGGAGGAAGGGCAGUAAGUUAAUACCUUGCUGUUUUGACGUUACCAACAGAAUAAGCACCGGCUAACUUCGUG